UCCCAUAAAGGCAAUGCUUUUAUUUUGAAGGAGUGCCAGUAGGAGAAAAAGACGCAGGUGUGUCUUCCAAAAGAACCUAGUUUGUUUAGCACAUGGCUGAUAACGGCACAAUGACUCGAGUUCAGAAUGGGCUGGGCUUUCUGAGGAACAGUGCCGUCCAAUGGCAGCGUCGGGAUCGCUGUGUGGCUCGUCUGAUUUACGCAAACGUGGUUCAUAGUGGCUCAAGUGUAAACUACAGUACAUCGCAGGAAGGAAGAGGGACCUGGUGGUGGGGGUUGGGAGCAGGAUCCCAGACCAUAAAACCUGGCAGCCUCCCUCCUGCAUUGUUCACCACCACUAUUCCAGCCCAGUUUCACUGUUUUCUCCCUGUGCUGUGUGUAUCCUGUCCUUUAAGAGGCAGUAAAUGUUGUUGUUGUUCAUCAGACAAACAUGAAUUCUGACCAGGCUGCUCGUCUGCCUUUGUUCUUACCAUGAAGACUCUUGAAGGCAGGAAGAAGGUUGUACUAAAGAAGCAAAUUAAUAACCUGGUUAUAAAGUUUGACACAGGCCUCAUAUGGGUCCAAUCAGACACACAUUAGGUUGCAUGCAGCAUGCAUUACACUGUAUAGAAAGCACAACAAAUAUAUGCAAUUCCAGCCUUUCAGCUGGAUGCUAACACAUCCAAAUCUCCUCUUAUAGCACCACCUUCUGGUAGACUAGGUUGCUUUCUUUACAUCUUUUAAAGCAUUGACUGCUGCAGUGUCAUAUAUCACCAGAAACAGUGAAUCAAAGUGUACAUAAUAAGAAAUAUGCACAUUUUAGAACAUUUCUUUUGUGUCUUUUUACUCUGCUAAUAUGUAAUAUGUAUAACAGUACAUUUUAAUUCACAUAAUACGAAUACAAAUGUAUGUAUAACAAACAUAACAGAAAAUGUGACCACAUAAUGAAUAUCCCUGCAUCUGCAAAGCAGGUAGUGCAAAUUCACAAUCACAACCUACUUUUUAAAUGAUACUGCCACAAGUUUUGUCCAUUAAACUGUGUAAAAGCUGUUCACUUAACUUUCUCUCAUAAAUGAUUUCCCUGUUCUUAUGCGUGCGAUGAAACAUUCAACAUGACCGCAGCAGGAGAGUACAGCUUUUGUGCAGAUGCUUCUCUCUCAGUCUAUUUAUGUGAUUUAAGGCUGUCAGGGGAGCCAAGCAGCAGGCUCCAUACAGGAGGCUGGACAUGACAAUGAAGCAGAAGUCCUGCAGAAACUGCUCCCCCUGCUGGCCGGGCACAGAGGGAUCCGAAAACACUGCAAGACAACCAGAGGAAGGAAUGUGGUCACUGAAACUCUCCAUCUAGUUCCUUGCAAGUGUGUUUCUACCAUGUAACUAUAUAAAGGUGAUAUUUCCAAAGCAAGAAAGAAAAACAGAAAAUGGAUGUCAUCAACAUGUUCUUUUUUCCCCGCUAUUUUUAGUGAUUCUGUGU